rnacentral:rRNA from 1 species
UGGGGAAUAUUGCACAAUGGGGGAAACCUUGAUGCAGCAACGCCGCGUGAGUGAUGACGGCCUUCGGGUUGUAAAGCUCUGUCUUCAGGGACGAUAAUGACGGUACCUGAGGAGGAAGCCACGGCUAACUACGUGCCAGCAGCCGCGGUAAUACGUAGGUGGCAAGCGUUGUCCGGAUUUACUGGGCGUAAAGGGAGCGUAGGCGGACUUUUAAGUGAGAUGUGAAAUACCCGGGCUCAACCUGGGUGCUGCAUUUCAAACUGGAAGUCUAGAGUGCAGGAGAGGAGAGUGGAAUUCCUAGUGUAGCGGUGAAAUGCGUAGAGAUUAGGAAGAACACCAGUGGCGAAGGCGACUCUCUGGACUGUAACUGACGCUGAGGCUCGAAAGCGUGGGGAGCAAACA